AAAUCAGAAGUUUUCAAAGUAUAGAGAAGGCCAGAAGGAGUUAUAUUGUGUGUUUGUGGAUUUAGAGAAAGCUUAUGAUAGGGUGCCAAGAGAAGAGUUGUGGUAUUGCAUGAAGAAGUCUUGAGUGGCAGAGAUGUAUAAGAGGGUAGUGCAGAACAUGUACAAGGAUAGUAUGACAGUGGUGAGAUGCGCAGUAGGAAUGACUGACUCAUUCAAGGUAGAGGUGGAUUACACCAAGGAUCAGCUCUGAGUCCUUUCUUGUUUGCAAUGGUGAUGGACAGGUUGACUGAUGAGAUCAGAUAGGGGUCUCCAUGGACUUGUGAUCUGCUGUGAAAGUAGAGAACAGGUUCAGUCUUGCCUGGAAAGGUGGAAGUAUGCUCUGGAGAGAAGGGGAAUGAAAGUCAGUUGAAGCAAGACUGAGUACAUGUGUGUGAAUGAGAGGGAGCCCAGUGGAAUAGUGCAGUUACAAGGAGUAGAA